GGGCGGUUAGCUCAGCGGUAGAGCACUACCUUGACAUGGUAGGGGUCACAGGUUCGAACCCUGUACCGCCCACCA
rnacentral:tRNA from 571 species